rnacentral:rRNA from 1 species
UGACUCACGCAGGAAUCUUACCGGGUCCGGACACACUGAGGAUUGACAGAUAACGUGCUGUUAUACGGUGCAAAAUAUGAUAGCUCUUUCAUAAUUAUGUGAUAGGUGGUGCAUGGCCGUUCUUAGUUCGUGGAGUGAUCUGUCUGCUUAAUUGCGUUGGUAUAUAUAAUGCAUGUUAAUUGCAUUUUUACCAUGCAACGAACGUGACCGCAACCUCUUGUUGCACUAUAGCUUCUCAUGGUGCAAAACUAGAGGGACCGCUGUAUUUAUUUCUUUUAGCCAGAGGAAGGAUGCGGCAAUAACAGGUCUGUGAUGC